GACGAACGCUGGCGGCGUGCUUAACACAUGCAAGUCGAACGGAAAGGCCCUGCUUUUGUGGGGUGCUCGAGUGGCGAACGGGUGAGUAACACGUGAGUAACCUGCCCUUGACUUUGGGAUAACUUCAGGAAACUGGGGCUAAUACCGGAUAGGAGCUCCUGCUGCAUGGUGGGGGUUGGAAAGUUUCGGCGGUUGGGGAUGGACUCGCGGCUUAUCAGCUUGUUGGUGGGGUAGUGGCUUACCAAGGCUUUGACGGGUAGCCGGCCUGAGAGGGUGACCGGCCACAUUGGGACUAAGAUACGGCCCAGAGGCCUACGGGAGGCAGCAGUGGGGAAUAUUGCACAAUGGGCGGAAGCCUGAUGCAGCAACGCCGCGUGCGGGAUGACGGCCUUCGGGUUGUAAACCGCUUUCGCCUGUGACGAAGCGUGAGUGACGGUAAUGGGUAAAGAAGCACCGGCUAACUACGUG
rnacentral:rRNA from 1 species